rnacentral:rRNA from 1 species
GAAAGGCGCUUUUGCGUCACUGAUGGAUGGACCCGCGGUGCAUUAGCUAGUUGGUGAGGUAACGGCUCACCAAGGCCACGAUGCAUAGCCGACCUGAGAGGGUGAUCGGCCACACUGGGACUGAGACACGGCCCAGACUCCUACGGGAGGCAGCAGUAGGGAAUCUUCGGCAAUGGACGAAAGUCUGACCGAGCAACGCCGCGUGAGUGAAGAAGGUUUUCGGAUCGUAAAACUCUGUUGUUAGAGAAGAACAAGGAUGAGAGUAAAAUGUUCAUCCCUUGACGGUAUCUAACCAGAAAGCCACGGCUAACUACGUGCCAGCAGCCGCGGUAAUACGUAGGUGGCAAGCGUUGUCCGGAUUUAUUGGGCGUAAAGCGAGCGCAGGCGGUUUCUUAAGUCUGAUGUGAAAGCCCCCGGCUCAACCGGGGAGGGUCAUUGGAAACUGGGAGACUUGAGUGCAGAAGAGGAGAGUGGAAUUCCAUGUGUAGCGGUGAAAUGCGUAGAUAUAUGGAGGAACACCAGUGGCGAAGGCGGCUCUCUGGUCUGUAACUGACGCUGAGGCUCGAAAGCGUGGGGAGCGAACAGGAUUAGAUACCCUGGUAGUCCACGCCGUAAACGAUGAGUGCUAAGUGUUGGAGGGUUUCCGCCCUUCA